UUUGUUAAGAGUCCACAUUGAUAAAAUAUGAGAGAACAUAUGGUUUAUAAGGGCAUGGGUUAGACUAGCUAAUUGGUUGGAUUCAAUCUUUUAGUGUGGUUUGGCACAUGUGCAUUAUAGUCCAGUUAAGUGACCCUAGCCCAAUAUUA